rnacentral:piRNA from 1 species
CAGGGAAAUGUGAUUUGAUGGCAGAGGCCUA